rnacentral:rRNA from 1 species
CCUACGGGGGGCAGCAGUGAGGAAUAUUGGUCAAUGGGCGUAAGCCUGAACCAGCCAAGUCGCGUGAGGGAUGAAGGUUCUAUGGAUCGGAAACCUCUUUUAUAAGGGAAUAAAGUGUGGGACGUGUCCUGGUUUGUAUGUACCUAAUGAAUAAGGAUCGGCUAACUCCGUGCAAGCAGCCGCGGUAAUCCGGAGGGUCCGAGCGUUAUCCGGAUUUAUGGGGGUUAAAGGGGGCGUAGGCGGCAUGUUAAGACAGCGGUGAAAGUCUGUGGCUAAACCAUAGAAUUGCCGUUGAAACUGGGCGGAUUGAGUGUGUUAGAGGCAGGCGGAAUGCGUGGUGUAGCGGUGAAAUGCGUAGAUAUCAGGCAGAACCCCGAUUGCGAAGGCAGCCUGCCAGGCCAUGACUGACGCUGAUGCACGAAAGCGUGGGGAUCAAACAGGAUUAGAUACCCCUGUAGUC